CUCCAGAUGUUGCUGAACUACAACUCCCAUGAUUCUCAUACUAUCUAUGUCAUUCAUAGAAUCAUGGGAGUUGUAGUUCAGCAACAUCUGGAG
rnacentral:miRNA from 1 species